GACCAUAUCACAUUGAAACACCUAUUCCCUUAUGAUCACUCAAAGUUAAGCAACUUUGAGCCUGAUCAGUACCUAGAUGGGUGAAUGCUUAGGAAUACCAGGUGCUGUAAG